rnacentral:tRNA from 1 species
GCACCCUUUGUAUAGUGGUCAUUGCAUUCGCUUUAUACGCAGAAGGUUUCAGGUUCGAUCCCUGAGAGGUGCA